rnacentral:rRNA from 1 species
AUGGAUGCUUCAAAUGAAAAGAGCACCAUUUGCCAAAUUUGUCUAGACCUUCAGGAGCAGGGGGUGCUACAAGAUAGCAUCCACACCAGUGUGGAAGAGCAAGUGGCCACAUUCCUCCAUGUUGUUGGCCAUAACCAGAGGUUCAGGAUUAUGCACAACACGUCCAGGAGAUCAAUGGAGACCAUCUCAACGUACUUCAAUGACAGCAUGAGUCGUCUUGAUGGCAUCAACAUCCCUGAUGGCAAAUUCUACCUAGGAGAUGUUGGCUAUGCAUGUCAGCCAGGUAUUCUUCCAUCCUUCAGAAAAACCAGGUACCAUCUGAACGAGUUUGCUGUUACGAACUAUCCUAGGACUCCACAGGAGUUGUUAAAUCUUAGACACUCCAACCUUAGAGUUACUGUUGAGAGGGCCUUUGGAGCUCAGAAGUCAUUCCACACUUUCCACACUCACAUUAAGUUUGUUCUUACUUGUUGCAUUCUGCAUAACUGGAUCCUGCAAUGGGGUGUUGAUGAACUAGUGCCUGAGGACGGAGAUGUGAUGGAGGACGAUGUUGUCAGCUCCAGCCAUGGUGUGGAGGCAUUCGACAACGAAGUCUGGAAGAACAAAAGGAUGGAGUGGGCACAAACAAUGUGGGAUAACAGAGGUCAGACAAGGAUCCGAAGAAGAAGAGCAAGAGGAGCAGCAGAAGAAGAGGAAGAGAAAGCAGCAGCGGUAGAAGAGGAAGAGGAAGAACUACCAGCAACAACAAAAGAGGAAGAUGGACUUUAG